rnacentral:ncRNA from 1 species
AAAAAAUUUGAUUUUUGUUUAUUUUUUCUGCUUUAAAAUUAAAAUACAUGUAAAUUUUUUUGUAGGAUGAAAGAAGUGAAAACUUAAAAAGUUUUUGAAUUUUCGCAGUGUAUAGAAUUAAAUUUUGUAAAUGAAAAUUUGAUUUGGUAAAUUUUAAUUUAAUCUGGCGAAAUCUGUGCCAGCAGUCGCGGUUAUACUUAGAGAUUAAGUGGAAAUUUGUUAGUGAUUAAUUAAUUGUUUAAUAUUUUUUAUUUAUGGUCUAAUAGGGGUAGAAAGGUAGAAUUGGUUUGCUUAUGGUUGGGAAAAAGAUAAGGAGUAAUAAGAGGUGAGGUUUAAGGAAACUAAGGGAUAAACUAGGAUUAGAUACCCUAUUAUACUUAGAGGUUGCAAAUUACUAGGAGAUUAAUAGUUAUGGUCUUUAAAUUUAAAGAAUUUGGCGGUAUCUUAGUCCUGUUAGAGGAACCUGUUUUAUAAAACGAUAAACCACGAAAAAUCUUACUUAUUAAAAAAAUUAGUUUGUAUACCGUCAUUAUAGAGAACUUCAAGAGGAGAGUUAGUUGUUAAGAUUGCUUGUAAGCGAGAAUAUUAGAUCAAGGUGCAGUUGAUGAAUAAGGUAAGAUGGGUUACAAUAUUAAUUUAAAUAAACGGACUAAGGGGGUAAGAUUUUCUUAUAAAGGAGGAUUUAAUAGUAAGUGGAUUUUAAUAAGGUUUACUGAUAAAGGCUCUAAGUUAUGUACAUAUCGCCCGUCGCUUUCGUUACUAAAAUGAAAUAAGUCGUAACAUAGUAAAUGUACUGGAAAGUGUAUUUGG